GGAUAACUUACCCUUUAGGACUGGGAUAACUCUGGGAAACUGGGGAUAAUACUGGAUAUUAGGCUAUGCCUGGAAUGGUUUGCCUUUGAAAUGUUUUUUUUCGCCUAAGGAUAGGUCUGCGGCUGAUUAGGUCGUUGGUGGGGUAAUGGCCCACCAAGCCGAUGAUCGGUACGGGUUGUGAGAGCAAGGGCCCGGAGAUGGAACCUGAGACAAGGUUCCAGACCCUACGGGGUGCAGCAGGCGCGAAACCUCCGCAAUGUACGAAAGUGCGACGGGGGGAUCCCAAGUGUUAUGCUUUUUUGUAUGACUUUUCAUUAGUGUAAAAAGCUUUUAGAAUAAGAGCUGGGCAAGACCGGUGCCAGCCGCCGCGGUAACACCGGCAGCUCGAGUGGUAGCUGUUUUUAUUGGGCCUAAAGCGUUCGUAGCCGGUUUGAUAAGUCUUUGGUGAAAGCUUGUAGCUUAACUAUAAGAAUUGCUGGAGAUACUAUUAGACUUGAAGUCGGGAGAGGUUAGAGGUACUACCGGGGUAGGGGUGAAAUCCUAUAAUCCUGGGAGGACCACCUGUGGCGAAGGCGUCUAACUGGAACGAUCUUGACGGUGAGUAA
rnacentral:rRNA from 1 species